rnacentral:rRNA from 1 species
GACGAACGCUGGCGGCGUGCCUAAUACAUGCAAGUCGAACGCAGGGGGGACGGGGGAGUAACACGUGGGUAACCUCCCAACAGAGGGGAUAACACUUGGAAACAUGUGCUAAACCGAUAUUGAUGGAUGGACCCGCGGUGCAUUAGCUAGUAGGUGGGGUAAAGGCGCACCAAGGCGACGAUCUCUAGCGGGUCGUAGAGUGUGAUCAGCCACCCUGGGACUGAGAACCGGCCCAGACUCCUACGGGAGGCAGCAGUGGGGAAUAUUGCACAAUGGGCGCAAGCCUGAUGCAGCCAUGCCGCGUGUGUGAAGAAGGCCUUCGGGUUGUAAAGUACUGUCAGCUGGGAGGCGUUACCCGCAGAAUAAGCACCGGCUAACUCCGUGCCAGCAGCCGCGGUAAUUC